CAGCCAGUGGAUUUGGAUGUGAGUAAUUCUACUCAUGGGGUACUCUGGCCAUGUGGAAACAUCUGGCCAUCAGUGUUUUCAUACGUUCAGCUUCAUCUGUGUGUCGUGCUGUGGUCUGUUUGUGAGAGAGCUGAUCUGUUGUGGUUGAAUGGUCUGAUGGCUGUCUUCAUGUUGUUGAAAGGUUAACUGUGGAGAAUCUGUCAGAUGCUGAUGUUGGUGUCCUGAUCUCAGCUCUGGGGGAGGGGAAGAUCCUGACUGAACUGAGAGUGGCAAAGAGCAGCCUCUCACAUGAGAGUGUGGAGCAGGUCCUCAGUGUUCUCUCCAGGCAAAAGUCUGUGGAUGAAGUCCAUCUGUCUGUGAGGACCUUCACUGUCACCACCGCAGCCCUGUGCUUGGACUUCAUUCAGAACACAGAGACGUGCCUUCAGCUGAAGU
ensembl:lncRNA